AGACCGAUAGCGAACAAGUACCGUGAGGGAAAGAUGAAAAGCACUUUGGAAAGAGAGUUAACAGUACGUGAAAUUGUUGGAAGGGAAACGCUUGAAGUCAGACUUGCUAUUCGGAGUUCAGCCGCAAGGUGUAUUCUUCGAUUUGCAGGCCAGCAUCAGUUUUUGGGGGUGGAAAAUCGCGGUUUGAAGGUAGCAGUUUCGGCUGUGUUAUAGCUUUCCGCUGGAUUCAUCCUUGGGGACUGAGGAACGCAGUACGCUUUUUGCAAGGCCCUCGGGCUUUUCGUACUUAGGAUGCUGGUGGAAUGGCUUUAAACGACCCGUCUUGAAACACGGACCAAG
rnacentral:rRNA from 1 species